UGCAUGGGCCAGCCUGCCACAACGGUGGACUGGAUGUCGCUCACCAGAGAGCGCCACCUACCGGAUCCAGAAGGUGGUCCACCCACAGUGGACAAGUGCAUCGAUCGUACAACUGGUGGCAGCGUGGGUAUUCAUCAUGAUUAUCCAAUCACCAUCUUCGUCUUCGUUACUUAUGCUCUUGCAAUCUUCUCAUCAAAGCUCAUCUAAGAAUAAAGGCAGCAACAUCCAUC